rnacentral:tRNA from 1 species
ACUUGAAUAUCUUAAUUUGUAAAGGUUAGUAUUGAAGAUACUAAGAUGGUGUGAUUACCUUCAAGUA